rnacentral:rRNA from 1 species
GACGAACGCUGGCGGCGUGCUUAACACAUGCAAGUCGAGCGGAAAGGCCCCUCCGGGGGUACGCGAGCGGGGAACGGGUGAGUAACACGCGAGCAAUCUGCCCAGCACAUCGGGAUAACUCCGGGAAACCGAAGCUAAUACCGACUACGACCACCUCCGGCAUCGGGUGGGGGUGGAAAGUUCCGGCGGUGAUGGAUGAGCUCGCGGCCUAUCAGCUUGUUGGUGGGGUAACGGCCCACCAAGGCUUCGACGGGUAGCCGGCAUGAGAGGGUGACCGGCCACACUGGGACUGAGACACGGCCCAGACUCCUACGGGAGGCAGCAGUGGGGAAUAUUGGACAAUGGGCGAAAGCCUGAUCCAGCAACGCCGCGUGAGGGAUGACGGCCUUCGGGUUGUAAACCUCUUUCAGCAGGGACGAAGCGCAAGUGACGGUACCUGCAGAAGAAGCACCGGCCAACUACGUG